GCAUAUAAAUACGAAAAUAUCGGAGAAAAUCUAGUUUCGGUAGUUGGGCUUCACAAUUCACAUUAUACCUCUCUCUCUCUCUCUCUCUGUGACUGGAGAAGGACGGAGAGAGAAGUUCCAUGGCGAGUCUACGGCGGCGACAGUGGUGGACCGCGGUGGCAUUUCCGACGAGACGAAUCUGGAACCGUAUCGGCGUACGCCUCGGAUUCCGCCGCACCGGACUCCUCAAGUUGCAGCACGACGUGAGAUCAUGUGAGUAUGAAGAUAUACAUAUAAUGUGGGGUUUGCUGCACAAGAACGAAGAUCUUGGCCCAUCCCAGAAGAGAACAUGCUGGAAGUGGAAGAAUCUCCUCGGAUCUUAUCUUUGCCAAAGAUUCUGACAAACGCCCAGAAUCAGAAUCCAAACCCGAAACAUUUGAGUUCAUGACGAAUCUUCCAGCUCCUCCGUCGGUGGUGGGUGCCGUACGGGGUAGCCUCGCAGUUCUGUCUUAAAAUUAUGCCCCUUUGUAAAUACCACCCAAGUUCGAAAGCAUGUCGGAGUAGUGGUAGGUCUCAACUUCGUGCUUGGAUUGUGGAUGUGCGUGUGUAUAUAUACACACAUAUAUAAUAAAACAAUGUAUCAUUUCUCUUCAACGACCACUCGAACAUGGGAUAUGAGAUAAAUGUAUCUCUCUCUUCUCAACCAA